AACGAACGUUAGCGGCGCGCCUAACACAUGCAAGUCGAGCGAGAAAGGGGCUUCGGCCCCGGUAAAGCGGCGCACGGGUGAGUAACACGUGGAUAACCUACCCCUUGGUGGUGGAUAACCUUCCGAAAGGAGGGCUAAUACAGCGUAAGACCACGACUUCGAAAGAGGUUGAGGUAAAAAGUGGGCCUCUGUACACAAGCUCACGCCAGGGGAUGGGUCCGCGGCCCAUCAGCUAGUUGGUAGGGUAACGGCCUACCAAGGCGAAGACGGGUAGCUGGUCUGAGAGGAUGAUCAGCCACACUGGAACUGAGACACGGUCCAGACUCCUACGGGAGGCAGCAGUGGGGAAUAUUGGACAAUGGGGGAAACCCGUAGGAUCCAGCAAUGCCGCGUGAGUGAAGAAGGACCUCGGUUGGUUAAACGUUAACUUUUACGGUUCGUAC
rnacentral:rRNA from 1 species